AAAAGCCGCAUUGAUCACGUAAUGGACAAAGGUAUGCCUGUUCAAACGGCGCAACACAACGAGAACGUCAGAAGAAACAGGGAUACUGCAUUUUUGGGCAUGUAAGAGUUGGCUUUUAGGGGGGCACGUUGCAAUAAACAAUAGGUGGUUGCGGGACGAAGCAAGGAGGCAAGAUGUGAGGAAAAGUUCCACUACCAACGGCGACUACAAGCAGCAUGCAGACUAAUUACGCGUUACGAUGCUUUACUUGCUGAGACGUUUCUAUUGUCUUCUAUGGGAGGUCGCAAUCAAUUCAGAAUGAUUUUAUAGCGUCCAUCGCACAAUCCAUUAAAAGUUAGAUUAAAAGAGAGGUUGAUGCAGCCCAUUUUUUCGCAUUGGCAAAUGGAUGAAACCACAGACAUCAGCUGUCGUUUGCAGUUGUUGGUUAUCAUCAGCUUAGUCCCCUCCUGUUCCCUGGUUAAGAGGGGACGAUCACUCCACUACCCGCGUCAACUCUCUCCUGAUAUGAACUGAAGCCACCUCUCAUGUGACCACUCAUCCACUGGGGCAUUGAAUGUUUCCUCUCCAAGCACUUCAAAUCCUGACCUGCCCUCAGUGGAAGAGUUGAGCUCUUCUCCAACACCAUCCAUCCAUGAUGAGCCUGUCCUGCACUGAAGUCAUGUCAUUCCAAUUCCCCAUAAUAUUUUACUAUAAAUGUCUUUAUUAAAUGUUUUCGGUUAAAAUAA